rnacentral:rRNA from 1 species
UACGUAGGUGACAAGCGUUGUCCGGAUUUACUGGGCGUAAAGAGCGCGCAGGCGGUCGAUCAAGUCGAGUGUGAAAGCCCCCGGCUCAACUGGGGAGGGUCAUUCGAUACUGAUCGACUCGAAGGCAGGAGAGGGUAGUGGAAUUCCCGGUGUAGUGGUGAAAUGCGUAGAUAUCGGGAGGAACACCAGUGGCGAAGGCGACUACCUGGCCUGUUCUUGACGCUGAGGCGCGAAAGCUAGGGGAGCAAACGGGGAUUAAGAAACC